ACUGAGCGUGUCUUCCUGAGGACGUCCAGUUCAGCUAGAAAGCUAGUUGGAGAGUACAGACAGUGUUUCCCCCUGUAUUAUUGCGUUAAAAACCGGUUAGAGCACUUUGUCUUUGCACAAUGGCUUCACAAAAGGUGUUUUUUGGUGUGAAUUCGGUUUUGGAGGAGCUUGAUCGUCUGAGUGACUGAAUCUUUCAGCAACACUAGCUUUGACGCGGUCAGAAAAGCUGCGUGGGACAGGAUCCUCAUCUUCAACUAGACUGAGUGAUGAAGGAUGGAUAGUAGCUAACAAGUCAGCCAGGCACCUACAAGGAAGUGGUUUGGCCACCAGCACACCUCCCACCUCCAUCUCUAUCAUAAAAGUGUGAACAAAUACAAU